CAGCCCCUUCGCUCGCUCGUCCAUUCAUCUCCUGAUCGUAUCGUCUUCAGACCUAGGGUCUCUGCCGCCGCCGCCUCCUCACCGAGUCACCGGGGGCACACGAACUGAUCGCCGGCGGCCUGCAUUACCUCACCGGAGAAGGGAUCCCCCCUCCGCCGCCCGCCUGCCGCUGGAAUACGCAGUUUAGCAUUUAGCAAUGGCCAACUCGAACCCUGUAUUCCAGAUGUUAGAUGCUAUCCGUGUGAUUCCUCAAAAUUAUGAUCCGAAGUGGCCGCUAUGGAGGUACGUGAAUAAAAUUGCCAAGACUGGAAAAGGGAAAGGGGGCAAUGCGAAAAGCAUUUGUAGGCUUUGUGAUCGUGAUAUUUCUGGGAGUUACUCAAGAGUGAAAGCACAUCUGUUGAAGAUGGGAGAUGGUGGAGUGAAGCCUUGUCCAAAAGUUACUAUUGAUAUUUUAGUUCAGCUCAAAAGUGAACAAGACAAGGCUGAUGCAAGUAGCAAGAGCAACACACCUUUGAACAUUCCGCUGCCAUCUGAUGGUAAUGGGAGUGGGAGCAAGAGAAAGGCAUCAGCUAUUGAAGCAAGCUUUGAUCUCGAUACUUGCAACAAGCUGGAUAGCAAAGUUUAGUGAGCGUUGCCGGACGUCGAGGUGGUCUGGGUAAGGCUGACUGAGACCAGAUCCAUUGCAUCCUUAAUAUCCAAAACCCUCUGUCAAUGUUUGAGAAGUAUCACUGUGGAGAAGAUCGUGGUGAGAUUCAGAUUGGUGUGUUUUUGUUGUGUGCUUCCAACAUGUGUGCAAAAUUGUGAGUAGCUCAGUGCCAUUGAAUUUGGCCAUUUUUGUCCAAUGAGACCACUAUGUUAGAGGGGGGAGAGCUUGGAGUGGAGGUUUGUUUCUUUGAAGCCAAUGGCUUUCAGAGGUGGAGCAUUUUGGAGAGGAAGCUGAGUAUGUAUCCUUGAGGUGGAUGAGCAUGGAGAGGGAAUGUCGAUGAUUCUGACCACAAAGAUGCCUGACCACUGGUUGCUUCGGCCAUCUUUAUGGAUAACUGCGAAAAAGGAUUGUCCAGAAGGUUUUUUUUGGAAGCUGAGUAUUUAAAACUUGAGCUCAAUGGGGUUCAUUCGAGCUCUUUGCAGCCAACCCCCUUCUGUCCUUGAGCAACUGUUCCAUGGCCGGGAAUGACAAAGAGAAGCCGCUCGAGACCGGUCUGGUUCGUCGUCCAUGCCGGUCGGAAGGGGAGCUGCUAGGAUUCGCGGGCUACUGGAGGCAAGAGAUGGUGGCCUCGCUGAGGGAGAUCGGCCAGAAGAAAUAAGCGGGGCAGCUAGGCUUUGGGUGGUGGUAGAUUCAAACACCGAUGGCUACAACUGCAAGAAGCUACGACUCUUUUUUUGCACCAGAGGUCUUGGUGAACCAAUUCGAGAUGUCGUUGAGUUCUACAGGAUCUCCUCCACAGUGAUGUCCUAGCCAUCCAGAAGGAGAGGAUGUCGACGCUGUGAAGCGGUAGGCGAGGAUACCGCACGUGUUCUGCAAGAUGCUUAUCUUCUUCGACGCCCUCGACACAGGUGCACGAUUCCUCUUCUCCGGUGGUGACACGGUCAAUAGCGACACCCUUGACUUCAGCCUUCAUGACUUCUUCACUUCCCAGCCAGGCUGGCCAUCGUUUAUGAGGAAGAGCUGCUAAAGGCUGAUUGACAAGGGCAAGGUGGCGCGACGGUGAUGAUCUAGAGCAUCUUUCGCAGUUAUCUCGGCCUGUUAUUUAUGAGUAUCCUUCAAUCACUUUGUUUCAAUGUUUAUCACUUUUGAUCUUAUUAAAAUAAUCUUCAUCCAUGCAGAUUCUAUUUGAAUAAACAUGCACUUUUGUUGCACUGUUAUGCUGGCACUUUACCUGUGUUUCCCCUUUAAUACCAAUUCUUACUAUUGAACUACGUAUUUUGCUAUCUGUUCCAGUGACAGUUUAUUCACUAUUCAUUCAGAGAAGACAUGUUGGUUGGGGUGACACAACGACAUGUGCUGCAGCUCGGUUAGUUGGCCCAGCCAGGUCAUGCUCCCUGAGUCAUACUGCUUUUAUGCUUCUCUUUUGAAUUUCAUAAAUUUUAUAGAUAUGCUUGUGUACCAGAAAGGUAGGAUUUUGAUACAAAACUAAACCUUUAUUAGGAAACCACUUGGAUAAAUAGGUAAUCUUGAUGGAGAAACUAUUCCCACCCAUGCUAUUAUCAUUUUUUUUCUGCAAACGGAGAUGCAACGCUAGAAAUAUUCUUGGUGAGUUCAUGGUUCUGUUCUCUGUAGAUGAGAAAAACCUUUUGAAUCAACAUAAUUGAUAUAUAUUCCCAUUUUAAUAGCAUAAUGCUUAGUCAUAUUGGUUGCCUAUAAUUGCCAUGUAUUAACCGGUUAGUUAAAUAAUUCUGCUGACAUCUCUGCUCUAUGGGAAUAAAACAGAGUUGUAGGAGUUGACUCUCACAUGAGACCAACAAAAAGAAUAUUUUAUUUAGUUUUCUUUGUGACAUAUUUAAAAAAAAAUCAUAUUCAUGCUUUUUAAAGUGUCCGCCUUGGGACGCGUAGGCGUAGCAGUGCCUUGGAAAUGUUCCCACUUUAGGUGCUUAGGCACACUCUUAGGCUUCAGAGCGGGUUUAGAACCAUUUAGUACGCCUUAAUGCCCUAAAAACCAUGGUAUAUUUCACAAAUAUCAGAGCUCGGCUAGAAAAAGGUACGAAGCAAUCGAUGGAACUGAUCUACCAUUGGAAAGUUUGAGUCAGGCUAUUGCUAAGGGAAGAUGCAUGACCUUCCCUAAUUCUCUGCCUAAAAGAAGGUGCAUGCUCCCAUUCUGUUGUAAUUUAAUCAUGAUAUUCCUUCUUUGAAUGAUAAACUACAAGCAUUUGGUUUCAUUGUCUGUAGUUGUUAAUAAAUAUCAUGUUCUCAACAAUUUAUGCUAUGCAGCAUCGUUAUCUAUCUUCUAUUUAUUAAAAAAAAGGUUUCAGAGGGAGUCGGUCUGCCCAGUGGGCAUUGAUGAAACCAGCAACUCUUGUGUCGUUUGCUGAUGGUUCGAAAAGACUCUUUUCACUAUUUACCAGACAAAUCAAAGACCAAUCGCGAAAAUUCAUUUGCUUUAGGUUAGUGCGUGUGCGUGUGACUGCAGAGCAGCCCAAUAAUUUUUUUGCUGAAUGUAUUGUUCUUCUCUGUGUUCACUCUUGGAUUGCUCCAAGGAUAGGAAAUGUUAGUUCACCUUGACCAACUUAAUAUUGUUGAGUAGACGGUGUUCAGUGUUGUGAAUACUACCCUGCAAUUUUUGUAAAGUUUUCAUGUUCAUAGAUUUGAUAUUCAGUAAAAAUGCAGUCUGCGUAUUUGUUUAAUACAGUUUAGCAAUUCUUAAGCAGGGAAUGCACUCUACAAUGUUAAGACUACUUCCAUUGGUACUAAACAACUAAGAUUUAUCUUUCCAUUGGUACUGAACUACUAACGUUUAUCUUUCCUUAGCACACAUUGGAAAUAUUUUUCUUAGCUUCAAGGCAAAACACUUUUCAGGGCAUGUAUGUACUUUUCUAAGGUUAUCUAAAAACAGAUUUUUAGCAUUUGCUGCUCGUUUGAUAGUUCUGAGCUUAGGAACGGAGGGAGUACACUUACCCCAUAUUUGGUCAUUGUACUUAAGCAGAUCCAAUUUGUAUAUCACAUUAAUUGGAUGUCGCAAGAUUUUUUUCUCUUUUCUCCCAUUAUACUGCCUACUGCUCUACUUUUAUGCCUUUUGUUGUCAAAUGUGAGUGGAAUAUUAAUGCAAUUACAUCGAGAACUGUGUCACUGACAUUUUGGCAUAUCUGCACUCAUGUAGGACCAUCUACUUAUAUGCUCUUUGGAGUGAUUGUAAUCCUAUCAGAUAACCAGUAAAGCUCUAUGAAUUCGCAAAAAAAAGAAUAUAUCAUUAUGUUUGAAUUAGUCAAAAAAGAAUAUAGCAUUAUGUUUAAAUUAGUGUUUACCAGAAUACCUCUGCUGCCACUACUAUUCACUAAGUAAGAGAAAUGGUUGAUUGUAUGUGUAUAAAAUCGACAUAUGUUUCGUUACUUUGCUUGAUAAAUCUUUGCUUUCCUCGAGUUUUUCUUAAUACUACAAUAAGCUAAAGUUCAUGGUUUAGAUUCUGAUAUGAUGGUGACCCCUCUCGUUUGAGGAAGUAGCUUUGUUUUCUGAUUAUAGAAAUUUUGGAUCCUUGGAUUAUUUCAUUUCUGUGUUGGAAACAGCUUGUGGCUGCAUUCCAGUUUUGGCAAAUGAUCCAGGGCAAAAGCACUUUCAUCUUGUUCAUCUAUUUACGGUCAUGUAUUUUUCCCCUCCAAAAAUAACAUGCAGCUGGUUUGAUAAACACCAUCCUCCAUGUUUUCAGUGCACUUUCUGAAACAAUAAUGCUUCCCACAAGGGUUUCCUGUGAGGAUUUUCUCUACAUCUACCCGUUACUAUCAUAAUGAGAUGGUAUGACCGAAUAUUACCGUGUGGAGAGCCGCUGACAUGUUUGCUUCUGUACUUUGUUUGUUGCCCCCUAUCCGGGGGAAGAUGGGUAACAGAACUUGAUUUGAUUGAUGAAAUGCCAAUGGUGGUGAUGUAGAAAUAUGAUGUCAGUGUUCACCAUUCAUGUUCCUGGGCAAUUAUGUUCUAAGCGUGAUUGUGACCAAUAGGUCCAUCUGUCUGAUACAAGGGCGAGUGGCUGAAUAGUGUUCAAGCAGAACCUGAUGUUAUCUCAAUGCCUUUUGUACCUAUUACUUCACUAUUGAAUGGAUUUCUUGGAAGUGGACCUUUGAAUCAUGCAAUCAAUUUGUACCUUCGAUAUUGUUGGGUGUAAGUUUUCAGACGAUCACCUUGCUACUCGGGAUUUUUUCGAGCUCAACUCAAGUUCAAAAGGAAUAUCCACACCAACUCUCAUUUCGAGGUUAGAAUGUCCUUCUACUUGCCCGUGAACAAUGACAGCUAUUAUUUGCCACAUUGGUCAUCAUGGUGUGACAAAUAAUAGAAGUGAAACGAAAAGUAUGGCAAAUACUAAAAUGCCAUUUUCAGUUUCAACAUUUGGCUGGUUCACCGAUUUGCCAUGGGCAAGUCGGAGCUCAUCGAAUAAAGGGGUCAUCACAACACUCUAAUGGCGCACCAAGUGUUUGUUGAUCCAAGGCGAGGUCAGCAAAUACUUGGUCCGUCAUGAGAGUGAUGUGAUGAUCCCUUUAUUCGAUGAGCUCCGACUUGCCCAUGGCAUGUCGGUGAACCAGGCAAAUGUUGAAACUGAAAAGGGCAUUUUAGUAUUUGCCAUACUUUUUGUUUCACUUCUAUCAUUUGUCACACCGUGGUGGCCAAUGUGGCAAAUAAUAGUUGUCAUUGUUCACGGGCAAGUAGAAGGACAUUUUGACCUCCAAAUGAAAGUUGGUGUGCAAGUUCUUUUUGAACUUGAGUUGAGCUUGGAAGAAUCCCAAGUAGCAAGUGGAUCGUCUGAAAGAGGGGAUCAUAAUGCUACUGCUGGGACUUCCGAUUCGAGCAAAGUGAUUCAACAAGGGAAUCUGGCUGCUGUGGUUUAGUUGAACCGCCGGAAUUGAAAGAACAUUAGGAGCAUCCUGCCGUUGGACUAUCAGUUUCGUGAUUACAUGCAUCUUGAAGCUGCACCGUGGGCCCUCUAGAACUAUCAGUUUCGUGAUUAUAUGCAUCUUGAAGCUGCACCGUGGGACUUAACAGUACUAGUUGAGAACAAAUCACGCAUUUUUCUUGCACGUGCACCUUCAGGUUACAGAGAAACGCCGGAGCAGGAGCCCCAAUUCUCGACGUGCAGGUGGAGGUGGAGGGAGGAUGCCGGAGGGAUUCACAACGACGACGAAUGAGAGGCUGCUGGAGGUGGUGCGGCCUAUGAGGACGCGCGGCGGGGGAUGCUAGCUGUAGAUGUCGAGAUACGCUGACGGGGCUCCAUGAAACUGUUGGAUUGAAGGGAAAUGGCUACUUGCUUCUCAUUUGGAGAAGUCAUGUGCUAGAAUUUGCUGCUCAUUCAAGUGAUCUUUCAGGCUCUACUAUUCAGAUUUUGUCUCCAUUGGUAUGGAGGAUAAAUUUUUUAUGCGCCAGGCAUAGCUUUUCACCUUGAGUUUCUACCUUGUUCUUUUAAGUCAUCAGUUUGGACAACCCAAUAAAUAAAUCUAUAGCUGUUUUGAGCAGAUAAAAUCUUUGUUUGUGAAAUCAGAUAAAUUGUUAAAAGGGCAUAGAAUAUACGUACCUGGUGUAGUGAAGUACCACAGGUUAGAUCCUUCCCGGUAUCAAGAUGCUGCAAGAUCGUUGCUUUUGCCAAAUGUAGGUUAUUAACACCAGGACAAUUGGAUGGUAGAGGUCAGAUCGGAGUAUAUUGGAUGAAGUUGCUAAAAAUAAGAGGAAUGCGUAAUUGGGGCGAUGAUUGGUCAUUUAUAGAUCUAUUUAUUCCAGAACUUGGAUGGAGGAGGUUAUUCUGAAGUAAGUUUGGGCAAAAAAAGACCUGGAUAGAUCAAAGAAAUACAUCAAGAUGUCGCAGUUUGCACUAUGUUCUGAAGUGGUCGGGAAGGAUGUGUUGCCAACACCACCGAGCUUCGGGUAGAUGGACGGCCGAAUCUUGAACACAGCCCACACCGUCCCUAUCGCGUGGCCGGCAGUGUCGACCCUUCAUUCGUCGCUGCAGCACAUUUUUCUUCGUACGUGAAGGAGAAGAAGCAGUGUAAAGGGAAGAUUCUCGGUACUGUGGUCAAAGGAGGAGCAGAAACAAGCACUCGUGAGACACAAGAUCGGUGGCCACGCUCGAUAAUGUUGACAACAUCCUGAAGCCCACGACACUCCCCGAGUUCACCAUAUGAUCAUAGAGCAGCAAGAAUCAAGCUUCGUUGUUCGCAACCACUAGCAAAUAGAAGCCUGCAUUUUCAGUGCCCGCUUGUAGAUAUGUGUGCUAUAAACAAAUAGGAACUUGAGUGUCAUGUCCUUUUCCUCUACUAUUGUGAUGGGAACAAUACAUCCUUGUUUGGUUUGGUUAUGUGUGUUGGCUGAUGAAAUGGGGUGAACUGGCUUUUA